UGGGGGAUAUUGCACAAUGGGCGAAAGCCUGAUGCAGCGACGCCGCGUGGGGGAUGAAGGCCUUCGGGUUGUAAACUUCUUUUGCUCUGAACAAGGCAUGCUAAUGGGUGUGUUGAGUGUAGGGGUUGAUUAGCGCCGGCUAACUACGUGCCAGCAGCCGCGGUAAUACGUAGGGCGCGAGCGUUGUCCGGAAUCAUUGGGCGUAAAGGGCUUGUAGGUGGCUGGUUGCGUCUGUCGUGAAAGCACAUGGCUUAACUGUGGGUUGGAGGUGGGUACGGGCUGGCUUGAGUGCAGUGGGGGAGGGUGGGAUUCCUGGUGUGGCGGUGGAGUGCGCAGAUAUCAGGAGGAAUACCGGUGGCGAAGGCAGGUCUCUGGGCUGUUACUGACACUGAGGAGCGAAAGCAUGGGGAGCGAACAGG
rnacentral:rRNA from 1 species